CAAAAUAUCAAUUUGGCUGGCAUUGCAUUUUGUUCUAAUUAACAUAUAAAUGACUUUUGCAAAGUUUUAAGGAAUAAAUAUUCUGCAUGUGUUGUUUCU